AAUCAGUGAUGCUGACUCAAAGACCUCAAACACAGCCCCACCCACACCUGACUCUGGGUCCGUGGGAAUGGGAGGGAAAUCUGACGUUAAAACAUGGCCACCAGCAGCUCAGGCUCUAUGCCCUUAGGGAAAAUUGAACGGGCAAUUGCAGCAGGUGUGCGGGCUGCACUUCACGCUGCUGUACCGCAGACUUCGUCUACACCACUAACGGUUUCCACACUACCAGCUAACACACAUGGGCUCCCAGGCACAGCCACUGCUAGCCUAACCACAUCGCUGAGAUCAGUGCCUCUGCCAUCCAUCCCUGGACGUCUCAUGGCUCGAUCCAGACACAUAAACAGAAGACAUGUCAAAACAUACACUAAGGAAGUUGUGUGUUUGCCUUUUUCACUGGAGUCAUCUGUCUUUGUUAUUCCCAGAGGGGAAAGUCGGACCAGAUUAGCUCAAGCUGGCCUUAUUGGAAAAAUUUCUUUUCCUCUGAAUGGACUGAAGACCAACUAAGAAAUGAAAUAACAGCUAUUUUCAGACAUGCAUUCGGCUUAUCAGAACGCCAGUUAUUACCAUUUCGGUUUUUGAGCACCAUCAAGGGGUGUAAAAAACUGAUGAAACCACAGGUCACCUCCAAUUUUCCCUGGGGUGGUAAAGAAGUUGCCUCCAUGUGUUCCAACUAUUGUAUGUACAUCAUGGCAGAAAUGCAAGUUCCAUCACAGAAUUUGCUUGUGGAACUCUCUGAUGACAGUGAUUUUGAAAUCCAAGCACCACAACUAAGGAGAGCAAGACAGAGAAAUGCCUCAUCCAUAUCCCAGAGGGAACAAUGUGAAAGGCAGCAGGGUGAAGAAGCCAGUCCUCCAGAUGACAUUGGGAUGGAAUUACAUGAACAAGGAACAAAUGAAGCUGCUACUCACUUCACAGAUUUUAUUCCUAUUUAUGUUGAUGAAGAAGAAGCCAUUGCGGAAGCCAUCAGACAAAGUCUUUCAGAAGAGGCAGGAUCUUCAUCCUUGCAUGAUUCAAGAUUUGCAAGAACCCUGUCCAAAGAAGAAAUAACUGGAAUUGUAAAAGCACACAGUGAGAGGGUUGUCACAGCAGCGUACAAGCCGAUCUACAUCAGUCGCAGGAAUUUGUGGUCAACUGCCCUCUGUUAGUUCAGCAGAAAGAGAGCACCGACACACUGUACAUGACCUUUGCCAGCGAUGAAGACACCACAGAAGAAGCAGAAGACCUUGGAGGGCCCAGGAGGGAAUUAUUUCGUCUACUUGUAAAAGCUAUCUACAAAGACAGUGGAGCUUUUGAAGAGUCUUCAAAUGGCUUCAUUCCAAGAAUGAACAUUUCUCAUGUGCAAAAUGGACUGUAUCGCACUAUUGGACAGAUGAUGGCUACUAUCAUGGUCCAGGGUGGUGAACCUCCAGCUCUUCUUUCCCCUCUUGUGGUGAAUUACCUCCUGACAGGGCACUUUCAGGUUAAUGUGACUCCAGAAGAUGUAGCUGACAUGGAGCUGAGAGAAGUCCUCAAGAAGGUCUUGACGUGCACUCCCCUGAGCUUCACCCAGCUCCUGCUGAUUCUACCGGACUUCUUUACUGUUCAUGCUGACACGCUACAAGUUUCCGCCACAUUUCCCGGUUGGUUUUUUGUUUUUACCUGCUCUUAGUAUUUAAGUUGUUGGUUCCUGUCGCCACUUCGUGUGCUGUGCCCUGCUCCGGUGUCCUCUGCCGUAGUAAGCUACUUACCGGCUACGCAGCGGAGCGAGUCUACUCUGUUUGCGUGACGGGCAUCGCUGACCCUUUUGCCUGCUGCACGUCCUGCCAGCCCUGAGCUUGCUUGAUCUCCUUCCACUCAGCAUAACUUGUUUCUUGUUUAAUAAACUGCUUUCUAUAGUUUCUUUCCCUUCUAGUUUCUGUCUUCUUUUGGGGUCCACACUACAAUAAGUUGUACUGUAGCACAGAGCCUGCUUUUAUCUACAGUAUUUGUUUAAAAGGGAUAAAUUAGAUUUGGAUGCUAUAUCUUGCAUCAAUGUGGUUUGACUUAAUAAGAUGCUUUGGACAAAAGGUAAUGUAAUGAAUUUUAAUCUUUGCCUCACCUUCACCAGGCUGCUGGGUGUGGACAGGGUGGUGAUCUACAAGACCAGCUGUGGUCCAGAGACUGCCUGCUGCAGAGAUACACACAGGAGGGCUUUGUGGAGAUGGUUCCCUGACCCAUUGACCAGCACCCAAUGUCUCAAAAAUUUUUCCUAUCACAAUCACAAUUUUGUCUCCAG